GGUCAGCUGUCACUCUCCUUGUUAUCUGCAGUCUGGUGUGCAGGCUGAAGAAACAGCCCUGUGUGGGACACUGCUGGUCUUCUGGUAGAAAGAAAAGAAAGAUGAUGGAAUCACACUGUGAUUCAGAUUGUGGGCUGCACUUCCACUUACGUUUUAUUGGCUAAAGGUGUGCCUGCCCUCAACCCGGGACACUGGAGCUAGCACCAAAGCCUACACGGAGAGGAUCAGGACAUCCUGUUGAGCACCAGAACAUUUCCUUCCUCAAGAAAAGGAAAUACAAAUGGAUUUAUUCUCAGGGCUACAGAUUUAGGAAAAAAAAAAAA
rnacentral:lncRNA from 10 species